rnacentral:rRNA from 1 species
UACGUCCACACCUUUUAGGUGUGGGCCAGUUGGCUGUCAUACUUCCAAGAAAAGCUCGAACUACUGUAAAGCAUCAAAUACCUGUACCGUAAACCGACACAGGUGGGUUGGUAGAGUAUACCAAGGGGCGCGAGAUAACUCUCUCUAAGGAACUCGGCAAAAUGACCCCGUAACUUCGGGAGAAGGGGUGCCAAGUAACUAAAAUUGCUUGGUCGCAGUGACCAGGCCCUGGCGACUGUUUAUCAAAAACACAGGUCUCCGCAAAGUCGUAAGACAACAUAUGGGGGCUGACGCCUGCCCAGUGCCGGAAGGUUAAAGAAGUUGGUUAUUCAUUCGUGGAGAAGCUGACGACUGAAGCCCCGGUGAACGGCGGCCGUAACAAUAACGGUCCUAAGGUAGCGAAAUUCCUUGUCGGGUAAGUUCCGACCCGCACGAAAGGCGUAACGAUCAGGGCACUGUCUCGGAGAGAGACUCGGUGAAAUAGACAUGUCUGUGAAGAUGCGGACUACCUGCACCUGGACAGAAAGACCCUAUGAAGCUUGACUGUAGCCUGGAAUUGGGUUCGGGCUCUUCUUGCGCAGCCUAGGUGGGAGGCGUUGAAAGCUUUCUUUUGGGAAAGCUGGAGCCAUCAGUGAGAGACCACUCUGGAGGAGCUAGAAUUCUAAUGGCGUUCCUUGAAGCAGGACGCUUGACAGUUUCAGGUGGGCAGUUUGACUGGGGCGGUCACCUCCUAAAAGGUAACGGAGGUGUGCAAAGGUUCCCUCAGGCUGGACGGAAAUCAGCCGUAGAGUGUAAAGGCAGAAGGGAGCUUGACUGCAAGACCUACAAGUCGAGCAGGGGCGAAAGCCGGCCUUAGUGAUCCGACGGUUCCAUGUGGAAGGGCCGUCGCUCAACGGAUAAAAGUUACUCUAGGAUAACAGGCUGAUCUUCCCCAAGAGUUCACAUCGACGGGAAGGUUUGGCACCUCGAUGUCGGCUCAUCGCAACCUGGGGCGGUAGUACGUCCCAAGGGUUGGGCUGUUCGCCCAUGAAAGCGGUACGUGAGCUGGGUUCAGAACGUCGUGAGACAGUUCGGUCCAUAUCCGGUGUAGGCGUUAGAGCAUUGAGAGGAGCCUUCCAUAGUACGAGAGGACCUGGAAGGACGCACCUCUGGUAUACCAGUUAUCAUGCCAAUGGUACACGCUGGGUAGCCAUGUGCGGAGUGGAUAACCGCUGAAAGCAUCUAAGUGGGAAGCCCACCUCAAGAUGAGUGCUCUCCAUCAGGUCACAGGAAGACAACCUGUUUGAUAGGCAGAAGGUGUAAGGCUAGUAAUAGUUUCAGCUGAUCUGUACUAAUAGACC